GGACGAGAGUCCAUCACUUGUUCCCGCGUACAUUGUCUUGUCUGACAAUGCGUUCAGGUAUUAGACAUGUCAGGGAUACGAAAACUGUUUCCUGUCUUGAAAUUUAUUGGGAACUCGGCUGUCGUGCUUCAAGGAGUUGACGAUCCAAAGGCCUGACUCCACAGCGGUAAUGAGCCUUGUGUACCUUGCACUGUCUUCACUGACAACGCCCACUACUAACCCCUCUGCCUCCGCCACCGUUUCAAGAUCAGGGAAGGACUCUGCCUUGCAUCGCGCACUGUGAUGGUCGCCGCCCCCGCACCCGCCGCUGCUGCUGCUGCUGCUGCUGCUGCUAAGGGAGAAUAGUUUGUUGAGUGGAUGACGGCGCGUUCACUGACCCUCUCCCCAUCACCCUACCAACUCCGGCCACCCACCCCCCUGCCACCAGACACCUGCUACACCACCACUACCGCCGGCUCCGUCCAGUGAAAGAUUCAUCGCAGACCUGCCAUUCAACGCCUGCCGCCGCCGCCACCACCACCACCACCUCCUUAUGGUGGUGUCACUGUACCUGGAGCUGUUGUCAUGAUUGAAUAAUAAAUUGUGAAGAAAU